UAGCGAAGGGGGCUAGCGUUGCUCGGAAUCACUGGGCGUAAAGGGUGCGUAGGCGGGUCUUUUAAGUCAGGGGUGAAAUCCUGGAGCCUCAACUCCAGAACUGCCUUUGAUACUGAAGAUCUUGAGUCCGGGAGAGGUGAGUGGAACUGCGAGUGUAGAGGUGAAAUUCGUAGAUAUUCGCAAGAACACCAGUGGCGAAGGCGGCUCACUGGCCCGGUACUGACGCUGAGGCACGAAAGCGUGGGGAGCAAACAGG
rnacentral:rRNA from 1 species